ACCAUGGCUUGUGUUUAUCUAGGGCAGAUGCUCAUAUCCUUGACUCCUUUCAUUGAUCUGUUUUUGCUGUAGGUGUCUUUGUUAUGGGUGACCUCACCUGAGUACAUGAAGAGGAUGAAGUCAUUAUUAAAGCCAUUAGUUGCUGCAGGGCUUCUCCACCCAGCAGGACUCAUUUCUCAUUGGUGAAAGAUGAAGGUCGAAGAGGUCGAUGCGCAGCAGUGGACUGUCAGCUGUCCUGAACUUCUUUAUAUGCCUCAUCCAUUCGACUGCGAUUGCCAGGGGGCUCCUCCUCAGCUAUGGGACCCUAUAAUCGUCGCCACAUUUCACCCCACUAGCGAUGGCCCUGACUACACAGAAUAGAAUAGUGAAUUUUUUCACCACCAUUUCCCCCCCCGUGUGUGCUACUGUCACAUGGACGUUGAACUUAUCUUUUCUCCCCAUCUACUACACUCCCAAUUUAAUGACAUUCUACCAUUCUGGAAAAUAUCACUUAUCAUGGUAGAUUUUGUUGAGUUUUCCAUCUGCUUUCCAACAUGCAAUGGAAAACUGACAAAAUACUGAAUGCAUUCUACUGAAAUAAUGGAACACCAACACACAAAAAAAGGGACUUUAAGGUGAUGUGUAAUUUCUGUGCUAUUUGUGGCACCAAAUGGAAUUGCAGUCUGAGCAACAUAAUAAUAUUUAAUCAACCAAUGGUGUGAGUUUACUUGUUUGUCCAAGCAGUGGAAGACGAUUGCUGAUCUGGUUGGUGCUACAUGUGAAAAGAAAUGACACCCAUUAAUUGUAUAACACUUAACUUAAUAAAUACAUUUUGCACUACUAUUAUAUAUUGGUACAAAGUAAGAAGGAUAACAGUAAAAGUAAGUUAUCAAAUAGAGAAAUUCCAGAAGGCAAAUGUUGUUUCUACUAACCUUUCGGCUUGUUCCUAAAUGACAUCUCUAAAAACUUGAGCUGCAGUGUGUCUAAAAGCAAACUUGUAUAUCAGUUUGAGUUUGGCUCGUCUAUGUAGGAUUAGCUCAGUAUAUCUGAAUGAUGACAGAAUCAGACCACCAUUUGUGACGGUUAGUGCUCUUCAUCAUUUCAUCGGUGAGCUGUUACUUCAGUGACAUAAAUGAGAUGAACUCCUGCUUCCAGACGCUUUCCACUCGCUCCAAAGCAGAGCUGCGUGGACCGUUUCCUAGGCUACAGCUCCAAACAUCAGAUGACAGUAUGUCUGAGUGUAUAUUACAGUUCAGUAACGUGCCAAGAAGCGGCUCUGUUGAGGCAAAAACGUACUUGUGCUCAGAAUGAAAAAUGAGUCAGAGUGAACGUUAUCUCUGUACGCCAGAUACUUGGAAUGUUGUUUUCAUACAAAAAGGGAAAAAAGAAAAUCAAACAUUUCUCUGUCACUUGAUGGGUGCAUUAUUAGCUGCCAUUGUUAUUAUGGGUCAUCCGGUAUAGAUGUGUUAAUCAUUAAAAGAAAAGGGAUUUAUCUUAAAAAUCGAGAUGUAUUUGGAGAGAAAUAGCUAAAAAGUGCUCCGUGUGCUCUUUUAUGACGUACCUUUCAUUACACAAUCUGUUGGAAUAACACCCCAUUCAUAAUUGCACCUAAGGAGUUAUGUCAGCUUCUUGGCUUCUUGAAAUGCUGCGGCCUGCCUGGUCUUGAUGUUUGAUUUGUUGUAAAUGGCAAUGAUCUCAAUAACAUAGUAUUAUUUUCCCUGAAAGUGUGGCUUUACCUUUACAACCACAAACAGAUUCUAUGGCUUUUUCAAUAUUUUUAAGCACCAUACUUGAUUGUGUUCAUGCUAGAUUUACUUUCCCUCAAGUACAUUUCAAUAAGUAAAACUAAUACAACAUGUUUGAACUUGUACACUGAUGAACAACGGCAUUGUGCAGUGGAAUAUCCUUUUCCUCCUUGAUUUGGGCUGUAACAAUGACAGCAGUAUCGUCUCAGUGCUGAUGUCAAGAGCAACUGCAACCAGGAACGUUUAACACAAUAGAACAAUAUCAAACAUGAGCCCCAACUACUGAUUAAGUCAAAUAAGUGAGUUUACAUAUGGGGCAAAUUAAAAAAUGAAAAUGGCAAUUGCUAUAUAAAAGGGAAAAUAAAUUAAACUAAAGUUUAGAUGCCAAAUCAUCAAUUGCAUUUAAAAGGGUUGUUGCAUUGUCAGUGCAUGUGAAACAGAAUUUUUUUAUAUUUAUUUUGUGAACCCUUCAAUAAUGAAAUGCGUAAUGUGGUGUUUAUUUUCGCUAUUUAAUAAAUGUAUAAAAAAUUGUCUGAAUCUACCUUCCAUGAGUAACAGAAGUCAGCUAUGAAAUUAAUUCACAUCAGUUGUAAUUAUAUAAUCUGUUGAUGGUGUUGUAUUUUGCUUUUUGAACAUAAUCUAUCAUUUGCAAAGUCAAUUUUCCUCCAUUCAUUCUUCCAUUUAUUUUUUUCUUUCUCUCCGACUAGAAGCUGUUUAACAAAUACAAAGGUUUUCAUUGCAUCGGAUUCGAUGUGUUACAAAAAGUGAGUUUGUUUUGACAAAUGAAGCUGAAACAUUUAUGUCAAACAUUUUGGAUAAACCUAACUUGAUCUUAGUUUCUUUCCAUUUUCAGUUAUGCAAGUAGUAGCAGGCACAUUUCAGUGUGUCUAACUAAAGUCACACACAAAAUUAUAUUUCUGUUUUAUGACCCUUUGAACCAAAACUCAUGAUUUGUGGCUUUCUUGUUGUUUUGGACAACAGGUGGACACUGGCAAAAUCACCUUCAGAUAGAGACAUGGUCAUAGACUGAAUGUGGCAGAGAGAG